AACGAACGCUGGCGGCAUGCCUAACACAUGCGAGUCGAACGAGACCUUCGGGUCUAGUGGCGCACGGGUGCGUAACGCGUGGGAACCUGCCCUUAGGUUCGGAAUAACUCCCCGAAAGGGGUGCUAAUACCGGAUAAUGUCUUCGGACCAAAGAUUUAUCGCCUUUGGAUGGGCCCGCGUUGGAUUAGCUAGUUGGUAGGGUAAAAGCCUACCAAGGCGACGAUCCAUAGCUGGUCUGAGAGGAUGAUCAGCCACACUGGGACUGAGACACGGCCCAGACUCCUACGGGAGGCAGCAGUGGGGAAUAUUGGACAAUGGGCGAAAGCCUGAUCCAGCAAUGCCGCGUGAGUGAUGAAGGCCUUAGGGUUGUAAAGCUCUUUUACCCGGGAUGAUAAUGACAGUACCGGGAGAAUAAGCGCCGGCUAACUCCGUA
rnacentral:rRNA from 1 species